rnacentral:rRNA from 1 species
CCUAGCUGUGUUGGCUUUCUAACCCGCACCACUUAUCGUGGUGGGAGACAGUGUCAGGCGGGCAGUUUGACUGGGGCGGUCGCCUCCUAAAAGGUAACGGAGGCGCUCAAAGGGUCCCUCAGAAUGGGUGGAAAUCAUUCAUAGAGUGUAAAGGCAUAAGGGAGCUUGACUGCGAGACCUACAAGUCGAGCAGGGUCGAAAGACGGACUUAGUGAUCCGGUGGUUCCGCAUGGAAGGGCCA